rnacentral:RNase_P_RNA from 1 species
CAAGCAAGUCGGGUAAUCGCUCUUUACCAUGUAAAAGUGGCAAAGGGAGGAAAGUCCGAACUCCAUCGUGCUCUUUUGAGCAGAUAAAAAAGUAGCGGUCCCGACGUAAAGAUCGGGACUCCGACCUCUAAAGAGCGUCGGAGCUAACGGCCGUCGCCCCGCCUCGGCGGGGUCGAGGUGCGAACAGUGACGCCCGAAAUCGAAAGAAAUCGGGUAUCCCUCCGGGAUAAAUUCCAGUGGCAACAUUGGAGGUGAAACGGCUAAAUCCUUACUGGGAGCAAGAUCAAACUAUGAGGUUUGAAGCUUGAAUCUCAUAAGACAAGUAGAUCGCCAGAGCCCGCAAGUAAUUGUCGGCCCAGACAGAUGAUUACCAUCCGCCCUUCGGGGCGAGAUACAGAAUUCGGCUUACAAGCUUGCUUGGACA